rnacentral:rRNA from 1 species
CGAAGGGAUAGGGUCGGUUCGGCCGGAUUUCACACAGGUGUUGCAUGGCUGUCGUCAGCUCGUGUCGUGAGAUGUUGGGUUAAGUCCCGCAACGAGCGUAACCCUCAUCCUUAGUUACCAUCAGGUAAUGCUGGGGACUUUAAGGAAACUGCUAGUGAUAAACUGGAGGAAGGUGGGGAUGAUGUCAAGUCAUCAUGGCCCUUAUGGAGUGGGCUACACACGUGCUACAAUGGUGGCUACAAUGGGCUGCAAAGUCGCGAGGCCAAGCUAAUCCCUUAAAAGCCAUCUCAGUUCGGAUUGUACUCUGCAACUCGAGUGCAUGAAGUUGGAAUCGCUAGUAAUCGUGGAUCAGCAUGCCACGGUGAAUACGUUCUCGGGUCUUGUACACACUGCCCGUCACGCCAUGGGAAUUGGUUUC